CAGAGCUCCUGCCCGUAAGGGUAGAUCUCCCACCCUAUGUUAUAUUUACCUCUGUUGCUUUGGCGGGCCGCCCUGGCCUCGGUCAGGCUACCGGCUCCGGCGGGUAAGCGCCCGCCAGAGGACCCAACUCUUGUUUUUAGUGAUGUCUGAGUACUAUAUAAUAGUUA
rnacentral:misc_RNA from 1 species